UACGGAGGAGGCAAGCGUUAUCCGGAAUUAUUGGGCGUAAAGCGUCCGCAGGUGGCACUUCAAGUCUGUCGUCAAAGACUGGGGCUUAACCCUGGAAAGGCGGUGGAAACUGAAGCGCUAGAGUGCGGUAGGGGUAGAGGGAAUUCCCGGUGUAGCGGUGAAAUGCGUAGAGAUCGGGAAGAACAUCGGUGGCGAAAGCGCUCUACUGGACCGCAACUGACACUCAGGGACGAAAGCGUGGGGAGCAAACAGG
rnacentral:rRNA from 1 species